GGAUAAACAAUGUAAAUUGCAAAAACCAAACAAGGGCAUUAUCAUGGGAGAAUCUCCACUUUUUCAUAAGCAUCUUUACAUCUGAAAAGCAACGCAAACAUUACCUGCUUCUGCUUCUGCUUCGCAUAGGAAAAAAGCAGAUGACUUUGACUUUACCAAUCAAAACACUCGCAGACCCAAUUUCCACAAGCCAGAACUGUAAAGGAAGGGAAGCAAGAAAGCAAACCCAAAUUUGAUUGAGUUGCAGGCAGCUCAAAAACUCAAUGCCCUACUGGUGGUGAGAUAGAUGAGUGAGGAUGCAUGACUGGCACUGCUGGGUGCAACCAUAAUAUACCGGGUAGCAAACCAGCAACCCAGUUUCAUGCAUCACCAUUGAUUCAUUCUCAAAAACACGAUCAGGAUGUUGCCAGCCGCACGCCUCCUAUUUCCAGUCUCAGUGUCAGUGCUUUACGUACUUUACAAGUAUCUGAGAUCUGGAAGGGUAACAGAGCUCUCUGAAGACAUCGCGGUUCCCCUAAAUCCCGAUAACGACGACGUCGUUUCUCGCCAACCGUCCCAUGUCGAUCCUGCCAUCCUUGAAGAGAUUCGGAAAUUCGACCCUGCCGUCCUCGAUGAGUUUCGGAAAUUCCUGGAUGAGUUUCGGAAAUUCGACCCUGCCGCCCUCGAUGAGAAGCAGAAAUUCGACCCUGCUGCCCUUGAUGUGAUUCGGAAACUCGAUCCUGCCAUCAUUGAUCUGAUUCAUAAAUUGUGUGUGAAGGAAAAGGUGGAAGGUAAAGAAGAGGCCGAGAGGAAUUGUAGUGGGCGCGAAAAUGAAGAAGGAAACGGAAAUGAAAAUGGAAACGAGACACAGAGCGAAGAGAGCGGUGGAGGAGGAGGAGAAAAUAAGAAUGAGAAUGGUGGUGAGGUGGAGAAGAGGGUUGUUAAUGAGGAAAAAAGCAGAAGGCAUCAUUACCCAGUGAGGCCUGAAGCUGGAGAUUGUUCUUUUCAUCUAAAGACCGGGACUUGUAAGUUUGGCUCCAAUUGCAAGUUUAAUCACCCUCGUGGAAGGAAAACCAAUAAGGUGUCUAAGGACAAGAUGAAGGAAAGGGAAGGGUUGGCAGCAGAGAAGCCAGGCCAGACAGAAUCCAAGGAUUAUUCCAAGUCAGGAGGAUGUAAAUAUGAAAAGGCUUGUAGUUUCAAUCCCAGAAGAGGGGAACAUUCUGUAGCUCCAAUUCUAGAAUGUAACUUUCUGGGCCUCCCAAUUCGGCCGGGGGAGAAAGACUGUUCCUUCUAUAUGCGAAAUGCCUCCUGCAUGUUUGGUACAAACUGCAGGUUUAAUCACCCUGAUCCUACAGCUGCAAGAGAAUCUGACCCCCCAUCUGGAUAUGGUAAUGGUGGACCCGCAUCAUUACAAGGUGCGUUGUCAUCACCAUGCUCUGCACCAAGAUCAUUGAAUGAUGCUCCGCUUUAUGUGCCAAUGGUGAUUCCGCCAUCUCAAGGGAUUCCUUCCCAAAAUACGGAAUGGAAUGGUUAUCAGGCUCCAGCAUAUCUACAAGAAAGAAGCAUGCCCGCACGUCAACCUUAUCUUGUGAACAACUCAAUGACUGGGACCAACGUCUAUAAACAAUACCUACAGCAGCAGCAAGCUGAAGAAUUCCCAGAAAGACCUGGCCAACCUGUUUGCAGUUAUUUCUUAAGAACGGGUGAUUGUAAGUUUAAAUCCAACUGCAAGUAUCACCAUCCGAAAACUCAGACUGCAGUAUUCCCCUCAUGCACCCUUUGAGACCAGAUCAGAACAUUUGCACACAUUACAUUCGCCAUGGGCAUUUGCAAAUUUGGGCCAGCUUGUAAAUUUGACCAUCCGUUAAAUAUAACAUCUUCAACUACAUCUGGUCCUGAUCAUCAACAUUCUUUCAGUGACUCGGCGACAACAAAUGGGGCUGGAAGUGAUACUGAUGCUACAAGUCAGCCGCAGCCUGUGUGAUAAGUUUUGCGCAGGAUUCGCCAUCACCAAGCACAUGCAAUCUUUUUGUUCUGUUAAUUUAAUCUUAGAAAUGUAUCAAACUUUUCCACCCAGAUGCCGCAAUCUUGUUAGAUGUGAGAACUCUAUGGAAACGGGACGUGUAAAUUAUUUCUUAUUGAUGUCAUUUUACCAGAGAAUACAAGUUUAAUUGGUAAUA